rnacentral:rRNA from 1 species
UUGUGUGUUAGUGGAACGGUCUGGAAAGUCCGACGGUACAGGGUGAUAGUCCCGUACACCAAAAUGCACAGGUUGUGAACUCGAAGAGUAGGGCGGGACACGUGGUAUCCUGUCUGAAUAUGGGGGGACCAUCCUCCAAGGCUAAAUACUCCUGACUGACCGAUAGUGAACCAGUACCGUGAGGGAAAGGCGAAAAGAACCCCGGCGAGGGGAGUGAAAAAGAACCUGAAACCGUGUACGUACAAGCAGUGGGAGCCUCUUUAUGGGGUGACUGCGUACCUUUUGUAUAAUGGGUCAGCGACUUAUAUUCUGUAGCAAGGUUAACCGUAUAGGGGAGCCGAAGGGAAACCGAGUCUUAACUGGGCGUUAAGUUGCAGGGUAUAGACCCGAAACCCGGUGAUCUAGCCAUGGGCAGGUUGAAGGUUGGGUAACACUAACUGGAGGACCGAACCGACUAAUGUUGAAAAAUUAGCGGAUGACUUGUGGCUGGGGGUGAAAGGCCAAUCAAACCGGGAGAUAGCUGGUUCUCCCCGAAAGCUAUUUAGGUAGCGCCUCGUGAACUCAUCUUCGGGGGUAGAGCACUGUUUCGGCUAGGGGGUCAUCCCGACUUACCAACCCGAUGCAAACUGCGAAUACCGAAGAAUGUUAUCACGGGAGACACACGGCGGGUGCUAACGUCCGUCGUGAAGAGGGAAACAACCCAGACCGCCAGCUAAGGUCCCAAAGUCAUGGUUAAGUGGGAAACGAUGUGGGAAGGCACAGACAGCCAGGAUGUUGGCUUAGAAGCAGCCAUCAUUUAAAGAAAGCGUAAUAGCUCACUGGUCGAGUCGGCCUGCGCGGAAGAUGUAACGGGGCUAAACCAUGCACCGAAGCUGCGGCAGCGACACUAUGUGUUGUUGGGUAGGGGAGCGUUCUGUAAGCCGUUGAAGGUGGCCUGUGAGGGUUGCUGGAGGUAUCAGAAGUGCGAAUGCUGACAUAAGUAACGAUAAUGCGGGUGAAAAACCCGCACGCCGGAAGACCAAGGGUUCCU